rnacentral:rRNA from 1 species
GGCGGACGGGUGAGUAAUGCCUAGGAAUCUGCCUGGUAGUGGGGGACAACGUUUCGAAAGGAACGCUAAUACCGCAUACGUCCUACGGGAGAAAGCAGGGGACCUUCGGGCCUUGCGCUAUCAGAUGAGCCUAGGUCGGAUUAGCUAGUUGGUGAGGUAAUGGCUCACCAAGGCGACGAUCCGUAACUGGUCUGAGAGGAUGAUCAGUCACACUGGAACUGAGACACGGUCCAGACUCCUACGGGAGGCAGCAGUGGGGAAUAUUGGACAAUGGGCGAAAGCCUGAUCCAGCCAUGCCGCGUGUGUGAAGAAGGUCUUCGGAUUGUAAAGCACUUUAAGUUGGGAGGAAGGGCUGUAAAUUAAUACUCUGCUGUUUUGACGUUACCGACAGAAUAAGCACCGGCUAACUCUGUGCCAGCAGCCGCGGUAAUACAGAGGGUGCAAGCGUUAAUCGGAAUUACUGGGCGUAAAGCGCGCGUAGGUGGUUUGUUAAGUUGGAUGUGAAAUCCCCGGGCUCAACCUGGGAACUGCAUCCAAAACUGGCAAGCUAGAGUAUGGUAGAGGGUGGUGGAAUUUCCUGUGUAGCGGUGAAAUGCGUAGAUAUAGGAAGGAACACCAGUGGCGAAGGCGACCACCUGGACUGAUACUGACACUGAGGU